UCAGGAAAAACGAUUCAUUUUUGCGUAAAAGCCCCUGUCGUUUGGACUAUUCAACGCGCGGUCCAAGCAGUUCUGUAAAGAAAAAAGGAAACACAACCACACACAGAGCACACGGGCUCGCCUCCUCUCCCUCUCGCCUAUGAAGUCAUCGCCGCCGCCGCCGCCCAUGCCGGCUGCUUCCGGCGCCUCCGGCGCAGCGCGGCACGCCCCAAGCUGCCGACGGUCCGCGCCUCCCUCCCCUCCACCCAGACUCUCUGCUCCCGGCCUCUACAGCCCGCUCGCAACCACACACCCAUGGCUAGGGUUUCGGGCAUGGCUUCGCCGGCGUGUCUCCGGUGGUCCCAGUUGGGGCACGCCAUGGGAGUUCCCCAUCCAUCACGGUCGCCGUUGUCAAGGGAUUCUUCAAGGAGAUGUCAAGGACGCCAUGGACAUGCAGCUCCUCAAGAUCAAUUAUGGAAUCAAUCUCAUGAUGGUUGAUGCUUGAUGCAGCGGAGGAUUGGGCCUCGCAUUAUUUUUUCCAGAAUUGGGUGUGAGUACUCUCUAAACUGGAUUGAGUGAGCUAAAUCUGUGCAUCAAAAUUGUAGUCUGUAGCUUUAUGUGUUACGUCUUAAGAUUGAACUUGAAGAUUGCUUUUGGGAGUAGUUUUAGUUGGUAGAUGUUUCAGGCUCCAAAUACGCACACAUUAUGUGCUUAAUGUGUGGCAUAAACAUGAUCAGUUUUAUGCUUAGAAACCAAACCACUGUCCACCCAUUUUAUUUCUUCAUGAGUAUUUUGUGUUGAAAUCAGAUCACCGUUCACCUGUUCUCGUACUGUUGUCUUUAACUUAUUUUGCCGAUUCUCAAUAAAAUGCUCAGUUCAGGAUGUGAUUUUCAGUUUUAGGCAUUUGAUACUUUUGGCACUGAGCAAAAAAAAUUCCUCUGAGCGUGUACCUUCAAAUGCAAAGUUCUGACUAUGAUUUCGCAUGCGAUCACACCGCCGUCGGUCGCUCUGCCUACCGAGUGCCACCCCGCCGCCUCCCCCACUCCCCCCACCUGGGACCUCACCGCCCGCUCUAUCUAAUAUAUUUUCCAGUUUUCUUAUAGUCGCCAAUACAAAUGUCUGCUUGAGUGUCAAAAGGCAGCAGGGAUAAUGAAAAAAGUGUAUGGGUUCGUUGCUACAUUGUAGUAGUUAUGUACAUCUCAAAUUUUCAGCCCAGGAUUUUUAUUUUGACUGAUGUGAGUAUUUCUUAGUCAGUCUUCAUCUUCCAGCUUUGACUGAAAAUAACUCUCCUGAAAACUGUUGGCAAUACUCACAAUGUGAUCUACAAAGAAACAUUUGAUGAUCUUGCUUGAUAACUUACCGGCGGGCAGAAAAUAUAUCAUGUUAGUACCAUUCGUAAGCAAACAUGUACCUUAUUUCUGCUUAGAUGUUCUCUGUUUCUUAUUUCAUAAGUGUUUUGCAUUCCCUAUAGAAGCUGACCGGCCAAAUUUAUGUUUACUACACUAGCAUAGUCUCUCAAGUACUGCACUCCAGCAGGCCACCCAACCCAUAUUUAAAAUCGGGUACUUUUAGUUCUGACUGCAGUCAUAUAGAUAUUCAUGUAUAAAAUUGUUUGCCUUUUGUUCUGGUUAAAUCCAGUGAUGGCGCUCUAGGUGAUCAUGCUUCUUAGCCGCUAUUAGCGGGCGAAGGCGCAGCGUGUACAAGUAUAUCUUUCCACAUAGAAAAUAAUUCAUCUACACAAGCCUUCAGAACAGGGUAGAUUUCCUAGAAGGCGACACCAAAUAGAUCAAUUUUGUACCCAGGUUUCCUUUCAAGCUUAGAAUUAUCAAAUUCUACUACAGUUUAUAUUUGAUGCAUGAAAUUGACCUCUUAGCAAUCACCGGUUCAACAAUCUUUGUAUUAUAUGCAACCAUCAGGCUUAUGCAUAUAAUCGUUCAGGUCCUGAUUUUUUAAAUUAAAUAUUCUUAAUGUUGAGCAUUUUUUUUUACAGAUUCAGUUCAUUAUUCAGGAUCACAAGAGUCCAGUUCUUAUGUUGUUCAGGAAGCACCAAUGAUA